rnacentral:rRNA from 1 species
CAGUCGCCGCGGGAAAACGAAGGGGGCUAGCGUUGCUCGGAAUUACUGGGCGUAAAGGGAGCGUAGGCGGAUCGUUAAGUUGGGGGUGAAAGCCCGGGGCUCAACCUCGGAAUUGCCUUCAAUACUGGCGAUCUUGAGUAUGGAAGAGGUAUGUGGAACUCCGAGUGUAGAGGUGAAAUUCGUAGAUAUUCGGAAGAACACCAGUGGCGAAGGCGGCCCGCUGGACAUGUAUUGACGCUGAGGUGCGAAAGCGUGGGGAGCAAACAGGAUUAGAUACCCCGGUAGUCCCUGUCUCUUAUAC